AACGAACGCUGGCGGCGCGCCUAAUACAUGCAAGUCGAGCGAGAAGACGUAGCAAUACGUUUGUAAAGCGGCGAACGGGUGAGGAAUACAUGGGUAACCUACCCUCGAGUGGGGAAUAACUAGCCGAAAGGUUAGCUAAUACCGCGUACGCUCCUUGGACUUCGGUUCAGGGAGGAAAGCGAUACCGUGGGUAUCGCGCUCUUGGAUGGGCUCAUGUCCUAUCAGCUUGUUGGGAGGUAACGGCUCACCAAGGCUUCGACGGGUAGCUGGUCUGAGAGGACGAUCAGCCACACUGGCACUGCGACACGGGCCAGACUCCUACGGGAGGCAGCAGUAAGGAAUAUUGCGCAAUGGGCGAAAGCCUGACGCAGCGACGCCGCGUGGGGGAUGAAGGUCUUCGGAUUGUAAACCCCUUU
rnacentral:rRNA from 1 species